rnacentral:rRNA from 1 species
GUGGGGAAUAUUGGACAAUGGGCGAAAGCCUGAUCCAGCCAUGCCGCGUGUGUGAAGAAGGUCUUCGGAUUGUAAAGCACUUUAAGUUGGGAGGAAGGGCAGUAAGUUAAUACCUUGCUGUUUUGACGUUACCGACAGAAUAAGCACCUGCUAACUUCGUGCCAGCAGCCGCGGUAAUACGAAGGGUGCAAGCGUUAAUCGGAAUUACUGGGCGUAAAGCGCGCGUAGGUGGUUUUGUAAGUUGGAGGUGAAAUCCCCGGGCUCAACCUGGGAACUGCCUCCAAAACUGCAUGACUAGAGUACGGUAGAGGGUAGUGGAAUUUCCUGUGUAGCGGUGAAAUGCGUAGAUAUAGGAAGGAACACCAGUGGCGAAGGCGACUACCUGGACUGAUACUGACACUGAGGUGCGAAAGCGUGGGGAGCAAACAGGAUUAGAUACCCGUGUAGUCC